rnacentral:rRNA from 1 species
AGCCCGACCACACUCCAAUUCUCAAAACUAAAAUUCACUUUAAACUAUAAACUAAAACAUUCUACUAACUCAGUAUAGGCGAUAGAACAGAACUACACGGCGCGAUAGAGAUUUGUACCGUAAGGGAAAGGUGAAAUAGCAAUGAAAAACCAAGUGAUACACAGCAAAGAUAAACCCUUGUACCUCUUGCAUCAUGAUUUAGUUAGACCAACCAAGCAAAACGAGUUUAAGCUUGCCCCCCCGAAACCUAAGCGAGCUACUCAUGAGCAGCUACCUUGAGCUAAACCCGUCUCUGUUGCAAAAGAGUGGGGUGACUCAUUAGUAGAGGUGAAAAGCCUAUCGAGCUAGGUGAUAGCUGGUUACCUGUGAAAUGAACUUAAGUUCAUCCUUGACUUCCCUCCAUGGACCUCCCUAAGCACAACCCUCCCGUAGCAAGAUCAAGAGCAAUUUAAAGGGGGUACAGCCCCUUUAAAAGAGAAUACAACCUCCCCCAGCGGAUAAGUCAACCUCCAAUUAAAACUGUGGGCCCUUAAGCAGCCAUCAACAAAGAGUGCGUCAAAGCUCUACUAAUUAAAAAUCCGAAAGCAACAUGACUCCCUAACCACUAACAGGUUAACCUAUGACAAUAGGAGAAUUAAUGCUAGAAUAAGUAACUCGGGGUACCUUCCCCCUCCAAAGCGCAAGCUUACAUACUSACAUUAUUAACAGACCUUAACUAAUAUUACAAUCCCAACAAGACUGAACAUUAACCCACCCCUGUUAACCCAACCCCGGAGCGCUCUACUGGAAAGAUUAAAACCUGCAAAAGGAACUAGGCAAAUUCUAGGCCCGACUGUUUACCAAAAACAUAGCCUUUAGCCAACCAAGUAUUAGAGGUGAUGCCUGCCCAGUGACGCCACGUUUAACGGCCGCGGUAUCCUAACCGUGCAAAGGUAGCGCAAUCAAUUGUCCCCUAAAUCGGGACUUGUAUGAAUGGCUAAACGAGGUCUCAACUGUCUCUUGCAGGUAACAGUGAAAUUGAUCUCCCUGUGCAAAAGCAAGGAUACACACAUAAGACGAGAAGACCCUGUGGAACUUAAAAAUCAACGACCAACACAGACACAACCCAAGUCUAUAAGGCCCACCUCUAAAACACUGGUCCGUAAUUUUUUGGUUGGGGCGACCUUGGAGAAAAACGAACCCUCCAAAAACAAGAUCACUCCUCUUAACCAAGAACAACCCCUCAACGUACUAAUAGUAACCAGACCCAAUAUAAUUGACCAAUGGACCAAGCUACCCCAGGGAUAACAGCGCAAUCUCCUUCAAGAGCCCAUAUCGACAAGGAGGUUUACGACCUCGAUGUUGGAUCAGGACAUCCUAAUGGUGCAGACGCUAUUAAGGGUUCGUUUGUUCAACGAUUAACAGUCCUACGUGAUCUGAGUUCAGACCGGAGCAAUCCAGGUCGGUUUCUAUCUAUGAUGACUUUCCCCAGUACGAAAGGACCGGGAAAGUGGGGCCCAUACCACAAGCACGCCCUUCCUCUAAGUAGUGAACCCAACUAAACUACCAAAAGGACACCCAUUCCACCCUACCCUAGAAAAGGAUU